CGAGCAAAUGGGGCGUUGAACCUUGCACAUUUUGGUUCGGCGUUCGCGGUUCAGUACGGGAUCGGGCUUGUUGUCGGACAAUGGGCACCUCAAGACGGUCAUUAUCCGGUAAUGGCGUAUCAGUUUGCGUUUGGUCUCAGUGCAGCCUUUCAGGCAGCCGCAUUGCUCUGGUUCGCUGUGCCUUGGCUCCGAACGUUGAGCAGGCACCUUUACGCGUCGCUUACGCGGCCGUUUGCAGAGCGAGACAGCCAAGCGGAAUUUGUCAUGGUGCCCGUCGAGGGAUCUAUCCUCGAGGCGCGUGAGGCGGUGGAAUGGUAGACUGGCCGGCCUGUGCCUGGUUUCCAAGCCGUCUUUUGCGGCGAUCGGUGCUACGUUGGGAUUUCGA
rnacentral:misc_RNA from 1 species